UCCCAGGUGGCUCAGAUGGUAAAGAAUCUGCCUGCAAAGCAGGAGUCCCAGGUUCAAUCCCUGGGUUGGCAA
rnacentral:tRNA from 1 species